CAGCCGUAAACUAUGCGCGUUAGGUGUACUGGUGACCACGAGUCACCGGGGUGCCGAAGGGAAACCGUGAAACGUGCCGCCUGGGAAGUACGGUCGCAAGGCUGAAACUUAAAGGAAUUGGCGAGGGAGCACCACAACGGGUGGAGCCUGCGGUUUAAUUGGACUCAACGCCGGAAAUCUCACCGGAUAGGACAGACAUAUGAUAGUCGGGCUGAAGACUCUACUUAAUGAUCUGAGAGGUGGUGCAUGGCCGUCAGUGACU
rnacentral:rRNA from 1 species